GGAUAUGAGGGUCAUGUGGCUGCAACUUCUGUCACCCCGUUGAUCAGCCAGGGCUGACUUGGCUGAUCUGGUUGACUAAGCAGGCAUCUCUUUCCUCCCUCCCCACUCAAUGAGUUUCUCUUCUGAGUGUUCCACGGAAGAGAACAGCCUUCUUCAAUAAGAGAGAUGGUUCUUUGGUCAAGGGUAUACUAGUUGCAAGUUCUCAAGGUCUAGCUCAAGUCAACCUCCUUGUAGGCCCUCUUCCAA
rnacentral:sRNA from 1 species